rnacentral:rRNA from 1 species
UGAGUAACCUGCCCUUAACUCUGGGAUAAGCCUGGGAAACUGGGUCUAAUACCGGAUAUGACUCCUCAUCGCAUGGUGGGGGGUGGAAAGCUUUUUGUGGUUUUGGAUGGACUCGCGGCCUAUCAGCUUGUUGGUGAGGUAAUGGCUUACCAAGGCGACGACGGGUAGCCGGCCUGAGAGGGUGACCGGCCACACUGGGACUGAGACACGGCCCAGACUCCGUACGGGAGCAG